rnacentral:lncRNA from 1 species
CUCUACCAGAGUUAGGACAAGCACUUUUGGCAGGAAUUCCACAUUGGAGAUGUUGUGUCCUCCCUGGGCCUCACCUAAAAAAUGUCAGUCCUUCUUGGAGUUCUCGUCGUGGCAGAGUGGAAAGAAUCCAAAUAGUAUCCAUGAGCACAUGGGUUCCAUCCCUGGCCUUGCUCAGAGGGUUAAGGAUCUGGCAUUGCCAUGAGCUGCAAUGUAGGUUACACACAAGAUUCGGAUCUUGUGUUGCUGUGGCUGUGGCAUAGGCUUGCAGCUACAGCUCCGAUUUGACCUCUAGCCUGGGAACUUCCAUAUGCCAAGGGUGUGGCUUUAAAAAGACCAAAAAAAGAAAAAAAAAGAAGAAUGUCAGUCCUUCCCUACUGCUCUUGGCAACUAUGGCCACUCUUGACUACUUGCUUAAAGGACUGACCUCCAAGUCACCACAUUAUGAAGGUACAUUCUUCUGAUUGUACUUAAUAAGUAAUUCUUGGAGUACUUUUUUUGAGACUGCGAGACCAUCCAAUUUAGGAUUUUUUCUUUCUUUCUUUCUUUCUUUUUUUUUUUUUUUUUUUGCUUUUUUAGGGCCACACUCAUGGCAUAUGGAGAUUCCCAGGGUAGGGGGUCCUAAUUUAGGAUUUUUAAUUUCUGAAUCAUUCUUUUUUUUUCAGCCAUGCCCCUGGAAUGCGGAAGUUCCUGGCCCAGGUACUGAACCUGCACCACAGCAGUAACCCAAGCUGCUGCAGUGACCAUGCCAGAUCCUUAACCUACUGUGCCACAAGAGAAUUUCCAAUUUCUGAAUCAUUCUUGAGAAGGAUCAGUGGUGUUGGAGUCAGUGAAACUCCUGCUCGUGUCUGUUGGCUCUGCCCCAUUGUUGUUGCUGCCUGCUUCUCUGGUGGAAGAUGGAGAGAUCUGAUGGAAAUGCGAACCAGCUUGGUCUGAAACAUAAUCACCUCUGGAAUUUUAAGCAUUACCCUGACUAGGAAAGGAAGCUUCUGCAAAAAAAGACUGUUUCACUGACAAAGCUUUUGAAAUGUACAUAAAUGACACUGUCAGUUUGAGUUCCAUCACUAUCUCUAAAAAAAUAAGUUCUGUGACUCAUUUUUUUAAAAGGUAGAGAAUACCCAUCACAGUCAUUUCCCUCCAAUAAAUUAAUUCUCCUCCACA